UACGAAGGGUGCAAGCGUUAAUCGGAAUUACUGGGCGUAAAGGGUGCGUAGGCGGUUCGUUAAGUCUGUCGUGAAAUCCCCGGGCUCAACCUGGGAAUGGCGAUGGAUACUGGCGAGCUAGAGUGUGUUAGAGGAUGGUGGAAUUCCCGGUGUAGCGGUGAAAUGCGUAGAGAUCGGGAGGAACAUCAGUGGCGAAGGCGGCCAUCUGGGACAACACUGACGCUGAAGCACGAAAGCGUGGGGAGCAAACAGG
rnacentral:rRNA from 1 species